rnacentral:lncRNA from 1 species
CAGAUAGAUAGCUAGAUAGCAAUAUAACUUGCUAGCUGGAUAGAUAGAUAUAGAGAAAUUUUACUUGGAACUUGUGUAUAUGAUUUAUUUGGAAAAAGGGUCUUUGCAGAUAGUGUUUAGUUAAUCAUCUCUAAAUUAGAUUAUCCUGGAUUAUCCAGGUGGGCCCAAAAUUCAAUAAAACAUCUUUAAAAAGAGGAGAAGACACACAAAGACACCAGGAAGAAAGUGAUGUGAAAAUGGAGGCAGAGAUUGAUGUGGCGAGUCUACAAGUCAAAGAACACUGAGGAUUGCUGGAAGCUGCUGGAAGCUAGAAAGGGGCAUGAAGUGGGUUCUUCCUCAGAACCUGCAGAGGGAAUCCAUCCUUCAGACUCCUUAAUUUUGAACUCUUGCCUCCAGAACUAUGAGAGAGUACAUUUCUAUUGCUUUAGGCUGGAAUAGUAGUAAAAGUUCAUGGUUAUCUGUGACUGCAGCUCUAGGGAAUGAAUAGACUGUUCUAUGAAAAGAAUUGGUCAAUCUGGAUCAGGUCCUGGAAACUACUUUCACUGAGACCUAGAUAGAACUGAUACCCCAGGAAGUUUAACACAAAGGGUGCAGGUCUCACCCUAAACUUUCAUUUUUCUAAAGGGGGAAAACAUAAUGAAACAAAUAGUAAAUCAAUCAUCUUAAACACUGUUUAAAAUUGCACUCACUAAUACUGUCAAUCCUCCUUACCUCAUCAUGUAUUUUCCUAUAGCAUUGAUUUCUUGAACUACAAAGUAAUUUUAUUUAUUUAUGUGUUUAUUGUAUAUUGUCUAUUACUACAGCUAAAGGGUAAAGUUCAUGACGGUAGGAAGUUUUGUCUGUUCUGUUCAUUGCUGUAUCCCUAACACACAGAUCACUACUUGGCAUAUAGUAGGCACACAAUAAAUACUUACUGAAUAAAUGACUAAAGGCAGUUUCACCAUGUACCAUUUCAAAGAAGCGUAUAGACCCAAUGAAAUAAUAGACCCAUCAUCAGGAAAAAAUGCAAAUGCUCUAAUUAUAAUAAAGGAAGAACUUUUUUCUCUCAUACUAGCUAUUAAUGAGAAAGACAUUUAAUCUGGGGAAAUACAGAAAAAUAUCAUUAGCAAAAAAGUGAAAUCUGGAAUGGGUGAGAACUUGGUAAGAGAAUUCCUCAUGGUUUAAAUUAAGUCUAAUUUCCGUGCCCAUGAGAAGUACCCUUUAUUCAAUUGGUUUACGUUUCAGAAUACAAAAAUGACUUGCAGAUGUGAUUAUAGUACCACUAGCUUCCCUUUAUUUGGAGAGAUGAUGAAAAUGGCAGGUAAGAGGCUUAGAAAAUAAUAGAUAUUUUAAUUUCCCAAACGAGGCAAAGUAUAUUUUAAGACAUUUUAGGCCAGCACUGCAAAUUUGAUUGUCUUCAGCAGCAAGGGAAUGUGAUGCAAAUGAGUGAAGCAGGCAGGUUUUUGUUGUAACAGCAGCAAAGAUUCAGGUGACAUUUAUCUGGUACUUGCUUAGUGCCAAGCUCUGUUCUAAGCAUUCUAUGUGGAUUAACUCAUUGAAUCCUCGUAGGAACUCUUUUAGAAAUAUGCUGUUACCACCAAUAUGUCCUUUUAUAGAAGAUGAAACAGAAAAGUUGAGUAAUUUGUCCAGGGUUACUCAGGUAAAAUGAGACAAGCUCUUUAGGCUUGAAACCCAGACAUUCUGAAUUUAGAGUAGGUGCUCUUACGUAUUAUUCAGGUGCUUGUCAAACUGAACAUGCAUCAUAAUCACCUAGAUGGCUUGUUAAAAUAGAGCGUGAUCUCCACUACCAGGAUUUUGAUUCAGUUUGCAUUUAUAACAAGUUCUCAGAUGAUGCUGAUAAUGUGGCCUUGGUGAGGCAGAAGGUGGGACUCAACUCCAGAGGCAGGGCUUGAGCUCUGGACCAGAUUGAAGACUAGUUGAAAUAGGGAAGAGGCAAAAGCACUUCUUCAUAAGACAAGCCCACCAGUGCCAUGCCAGUUUACCAUUGCCAUGGCAACACCCAAUAGUUACUCUUGCUUUCCAUGGCAAUGGCCCAGAAGUUACCACCCUUUUUCUAGAAAUUUCUGAAUAACCUGUCCCAUAAUUUGCAUAUAAUUAAAAGUGGGUAUUAAUAUGACUGGAGCGCUGCCCCCGAGCUCCCACUCUGAGCACACUGCCUAUGGCUUAGCCCUGCUCUGCAAAGAGCAGUACCUCUACUACUGCUGUACCCUGCUGCUGCAAUAAAUUUGCUGUCUAACACCACUACUGGCUCACCCUUGAAUUUUUUCCUGGGCAAAGCCAAGAACUCUCACAGCCUAUGCCUCAAUUUUGGGGCUCAUUUUUCCUGUAUCACUGGGACCAUACUUUGAAAACCAUUAUACUACCCUAUACAAAUUAGUGGCAAACUAGAGAAUGCAUGAUGAAAUCAUUUAUUUAAAAUCAUUUAAAUUCAUCCAAUUAAAAUUAUUCAUAUUCACAUCUAAUAAGUCAAAGGAGGAAGGAAAGGGGAAGAUGGCAUGUCUUCAGAAUAAAUAUGUUCUGCUUGCUUCAGCAAACCGGAAUGAACCGAGUCAAUAAUGGAAGAAUUUGUUGUAAUAUAUUUGUGUUUCUUUGUGUCCAAGAGUGUUAUUCACACAUGAAGCUCAAGAUGGUCCCUGAUGAUAUGUCACAGAGAUUCCUAAGGUACUCUUUUGUAAAGAAUGACUAGACAGAAAAUACUUCCUUAGUUCUGUAACAAGCAAUGAUUCCUGGAGUGGGAAAUGUUCUUGUGGGACCAGAGCUCAGUUGCAGCCUUUGCAGACUAAUGCUCCUGAUAUUAACAAGAGGUCUUGUGUUAACCCAACGAUCUAACUCCAGCCUGGUGAACCUGAUCUUUGGAACUAUUAGGGGGGAAGAUAAAAAGCCAGGGAACUGGGGAGAUGCCAAAGUAAUCACUUUCUGCUUGCUCAAGUUUGCCUGCAGUUUUCAAUUGGAUGCAGUGCCUUCCAUUUCCCACCCUACAUUUUUGCAGAGCUGUGACACUGUACUUCAGAGAAGAGCUACAAAUCUACAUCCACAUGGUGAGUUUAAUGAGUAGCAAUGAAAUUAGUAGUAGUAUUUGGUACAGACAAAUAGCAACCAGUAAGCUCUUUGGGAUGAGAAAAAAGAGACUAAUUGUGACCAUUUGAUAACUAGUUAAUAACUAGGUAGCUAAAACUUAUCAAGCACUCACUAUGGUAGCUGCAAUACUAAGGGAUUUGCCUACAUAAUUUGAUUUUAGCCCUCACAUCAACACUAUGAUGUAAGUACAAUUACUAUUUCCACUUUCCAGAGCAGAAAGCUUGGAAUGACCAGGUCAUUUGCCCAAGUUGACACAAGCUGUGGGUGGUGGAUCUAGGAACUCUUUCUUCACAAGUAGCACCUUUAAUCAUUAUGUUAUACUGGACUAAAAAGAUAACACAAUCUAAGUGUAAAGAUUAUAACAAAUAUGUGAGAUUCAGAAUGUGAGAAGAAAACAAAAUACACUGCUCCUUUAAAACAGCUGUGUAGACAAUUUCUUCCCUGGGCAUUGAAUAAAAUCUUGAGCAGGUUUCAUAGCUUCUCCAGUGGCUAUAUUAUUUUUAGCUAAUAAAAAUUCCCUCAUACUUCUAGAUGCAAUAACCAUCUUACUUCAGAAUUAAAAUUGCCAGUCCAUGAUGGUAAUCAGGACUCCAAGCUUCAUUUGAGGCUAAAGCUCCUAUGUCACCAUACAAUAAUAAGAUGCCUUUGACUCCUUCAGUUUGGGAGUGGCUUGGGUGGGGGUGGGAGUGAAAGGAGGAAGAGACGUUCGGGGCAGUAAAGAUUUAACAUGCUAGUACUGUCAUACCAUCAUGAUCUCACUUUGUUGAUUUCAGGGCCUGGUGGUUGUCCAAAGCUGACUCAUUAUCUCAUGAGGAGCUUUUAUGGAUUUCUAAAAGAUUUUCCCACUGGCAACCUCCAGCCACAUUUCCUGAGGUUCUCUGCUAGGUGUCUGCUUAUAAUUCCUCCCAGACCAUGGGCACCCAGUGGUCUGUCGACUCUGUUGGGGUCUUGUCUUCCCUCUAGACAGCUCUUUUUGUGUGGGAUCCAAGCUGAAUCCCAGUUUGAGCCCUACAAUUAAUUCCUGGGAAACAUGGGAUGAGUGCAGCUGCUGACCAAUGAAGCCACCACAAUGUCCUACAUUUGAACUUUUCUUGAAAUAAAGAUGGCAUCAGUCUAUGUAUUUCAUAGAUUGCCAAUUUCUUUGAGUAGUUUUCUUCAUCUCCACUUACUUGGCUUGAGGUCAGGGAUAAGUACACUUUGCUCUCCUCUGUCAGGGCAGUGAGGUGUGUGUGUUAAGUCAGAAUUGGUGGUGAUUGCCAUACCAUUCUAAUAGCUCUCUCCAAAGAAAUUGGAAGUCUCAAAAAAUAGUAGUCCUCUUUUUUGGCUCUCCAACCUUUUAAAUAUCCUUGAGACAGUUCUUAUGCUAGGGGUUGCCAAAGGAAAUUUCCAGAAUACUUCUUUUGCAAGUCCUGCAUAUAUGGCCUGGCUUCUUAUUUUAGAUUGUGGAGGUUAUUUGGCACCAAUCAUUUUGUUCUCAG